UACGGAGGGUGCGAGCGUUGUUCGGAAUUACUGGGCGUAAAGCGCGCGCAGGCGGCCUUUUAAGUCUGACGGUGAAAUCCCUGGGCUCAACCCAGGAACUGCGUCCGAUACUGGGAGGCUUGAAUCCGGGAGAGGGAUGUGGAAUUCCAGGUGUAGCGGUGAAAUGCGUAGAUAUCUGGAGGAACACCGGUGGCGAAGGCGGCAUCCUGGACCGGUAUUGACGCUGAUGCGCGAAAGCCAGGGGAGCAAACGGG
rnacentral:rRNA from 1 species